ACUCAAAGGAAUUGACGGGGGCCCGCACAAGCAGUGGAUUAUGUGGUUUAAUUCGAAGCAACGCGAAGAACCUUACCAGGUCUUGACAUACCACGAGUAGCAUAGAGAUAUGUGAUGCCCUUCGGGGCGUGGAUACAGGUGGUGCAUGGUUGUCGUCAGCUCGUGUCGUGAGAUGUUGGGUUAAGUCCCGCAACGAGCGCAACCCUUACCAUUAGUUGCUACGCAAGAGCACUCUAAUGGGACUGCCGUUGACAAAACGGAGGAAGGUGGGGAUGAUGUCAAAUCAUCAUGCCCCUUAUGACCUGGGCUACACACGUAAUACAAUGGCGAUAGUACAGAGGGAAGCGAAGGCGCGAGCCGGAGCGGAACCCUAAAAGUCGUCUCAGUUCGGAUUGCAGGCUGCAACCCGCCUGCAUGAAGUCGGAAUUGCUAGUAAUCGCGGAUCAUCAUGCCGCGGUGAAUACGUUCCCGGGCCUUGUACACACCGCCCGU
rnacentral:rRNA from 1 species